GAAGCUGACCAGACAGUCGCCGCUUCGUCGUCGUCCCUUUCGGGGGAGACGGGCGGAGGGGAGGAAAGUCCGGGCUCCACAGGGCAGGGUGCCAGGUAACGCCUGGGGGGGAAACCCACGACCAGUGCAACAGAGAGCAAACCGCCGAUGGCCCGCGUAAGCGGGAUCAGGUAAGGGUGAAAGGGUGCGGUAAGAGCGCACCGCGCGGCUGGUAACAGUCCGUGGCACGGUAAACUCCACCCGGAGCAAGGCCAAAU
rnacentral:RNase_P_RNA from 1 species